rnacentral:rRNA from 1 species
GACGAACGCUGGCGGCGUGCUUAACACAUGCAAGUCGAACGGUGAAGCGCCUUCCUUUUUGGUGGGUGUGGAUGAGUGGCGAACGGGUGAGUAACACGUGAGUAACCUGCCCCCUUCUUCUGGAUAACCGCAUGAAAGUGUGGCUAAUACGGGAUAUUCUGGGUCUGUCGCAUGAUGGGUCUGGGAAAGAUAUUGUUUCGGUGGGGGAUGGGCUCGCGGCCUAUCAGCUUGUUGGUGGGGUGAUGGCCUACCAAGGCGGUGACGGGUAGCCGGCCUGAGAGGGUGGACGGUCACACUGGGACUGAGACACGGGCCAGACUCCUACGGGAGGCAGCGGUGGGGAAUAGUGCACAAUGGGCGCAAGCCUGAUGCAGCGACGCCGCGUGAGGGAUGGAGGCCUUCGGGUUGUGAACCUCUUUCGCCAGUGAAGCAGGCCUGCCUCGUUUGUGGGUGGGUUGACGGUAGCUGGAUAAGAAACGCCGGCUAACUACGU